rnacentral:rRNA from 1 species
GUUUAGAACGUCGUGAGACAGUUCGGUCCCUAUCUGCCGUGGGCGCUGGAGAACUGAGGGGGGCUGCUCCUAGUACGAGAGGACCGGAGUGGACGCAUCACUGGUGUUCGGGUUGUCAUGCCAAUGGCACUGCCCGGUAGCUAAAUGCGGAAGAGAUAAGUGCUGAAAGCAUCUAAGCACGAAACUUGCCCCGAGAUGAGUUCUCCCUGACUCCUUGAGAGUCCUGAAGGAACGUUGAAGACGACGACGUUGAUAGGCCGGGUGUGUAAGCGCAGCGAUGCGUUGAGCUAACCGGUACUAAUGAACCGUGAGGCUUAACCUU